GCAACGAGCGCAACCUUCGUCUUCAGUUGCCAGCACGUAAAGGUGGGAACUCUGAAGAUACUGCCCCGGUUAACCGGGGAGGGAAGGUGGGGAUGACGUCAAGUCCUCAUGGCCCUUAUGCCCAGGGCUACACACGUGCUACAAUGGCAUAUACAAAGGGUCGCGAUACCGCGAGGUGGAGCCAAUCCCAUAAAGUAUGCCACAGUUCGGAUUGGAGUCUGCAACUCGACUCCAUGAAGUUGGAAUCGCUAGUAAUCGCAGAUCAGCAUGCUGCGGUGAAUACGUUCCCGGGCCUU
rnacentral:rRNA from 1 species